AGUAGUGUGGCUUGGUGGAAAAAGCGACGGGCCUAAGGGGUCCAAGACCUGGGUUCUAAUCCCAGCUCCACCC
rnacentral:tRNA from 1 species